UGGGGAAUUUUGGACAAUGGGGGCAACCCUGAUCCAGCAAUGCCGCGUGUGUGAAGAAGGCCUUCGGGUUGUAAAGCACUUUUGUCCGGAAAGAAAACGCCGUGGUUAAUACCCGUGGCGGAUGACGGUACCGGAAGAAUAAGCACCGGCUAACUACGUGCCAGCAGCCGCGGUAAUACGUAGGGUGCAAGCGUUAAUCGGAAUUACUGGGCGUAAAGCGUGCGCAGGCGGUCCGCUAAGACAGAUGUGAAAUCCCCGGGCUUAACCUGGGAACUGCAUUUGUGACUGGCGGGCUAGAGUAUGGCAGAGGGGGGUAGAAUUCCACGUGUAGCAGUGAAAUGCGUAGAGAUGUGGAGGAAUACCGAUGGCGAAGGCAGCCCCCUGGGCCAAUACUGACGCUCAUGCACGAAAGCGUGGGGGAGCAAACAGGAUUAGAUACCCUGGUAGUCCACGCCCUAAACGAUGUCAACUAGUUGUCGGGUCUUCAUUGACUUGGU
rnacentral:rRNA from 1 species